rfam:Ovis aries breed Texel chromosome 3, whole genome shotgun sequence.
CCUGGUGGCUCAGAGGUUAAAGCGUCUGCCUCCAAAGCGGGAGACCCAGGUUUGAUCCCUGGGUCAGGA